UACGGGAGGGGGGCGAGCGUUGUUCGGAAGUUAUUGGGACGUAAAGGGUGCGUUAGGCGGUUUGGUAAGUCUCGUGUGAAAUCUACAGGCUCAACUUGUAGAUCUGCGACGAGAAACUGCCGGGCUUGAGUGUGGGAGAGGUGAGUGGAAUUCCCGGUGUAGCGGUGAAAUGCGUAGAUAUCGGGGAGGAACACCUGUGGCGAAAGCGGCUCACUGGACCAUAACUGACGACUGAUGGCACGAAAAGCCUAGGGGGAGCAAACAGGA
rnacentral:rRNA from 1 species